rnacentral:rRNA from 1 species
UACGUAGGGUGCGAGCGUUGUCCGGAAUUAUUGGGCGUAAAGGGCUCGUAGGCGGUUUGUCGCGUCGGGAGUGAAAACACCGGGCUCAACUCGGUGCUUGCUUUCGAUACGGGCAGACUAGAGGUAUGCAGGGGAGAACGGAAUUCCUGGUGUAGCGGUGAAAUGCGCAGAUAUCAGGAGGAACACCGGUGGCGAAGGCGGUUCUCUGGGCAUUACCUGACGCUGAGGAGCGAAAGUGUGGGGAGCGAACAGG